UACGGGGGGAGCAAACGUUGUUCGGAUUUACUGGGCGUAAAGCGUGUGUAGGCGGCUUGGCAAGUUGGAUGUGAAAGCCCACGGCUCAACCGUGGAAGCGCACCCAAAACUGCUUCGCUCGAGUCUCGGAGAGGAAGGUGGAAUGCUUGGUGUAGAGGUGAAAUUCGUAGAUAUCAAGCAGAACACCUGCGGCGAAGGCGGCCUUCUGGACGAUGACUGACGCUGAGACACGAAAGCGUGGGGAGCAAACAGG
rnacentral:rRNA from 1 species